GACGAACGCUGGCGGCGUGCUUAACACAUGCAAGUCGAACGGAAAGGCCCUGCUUUUGUGGGGUGCUCGGGUGGCGAACGGGUGAGUAACACGUGAGUAACCUGCCCUUGACUUUGGGAUAACUUCAGGAAACUGGGGCUAAUACCGGAUAGGAGCUCCUGCUGCAUGGUGGGGGUUGGAAAGCUUCGGCGGUUGGGGAUGGACUCGCGGCUUAUCAGCUUGCUGGUGGGGUAGUGGCUUACCAAGGCUUUGACGGGUAGCCGGCCUGAGAGGGUGACCGGGCACAUUGGGACUGAGAUACGGACCAGACUCCUACGGGAGGCAGCAGUGGGGAAUAUUGCACAAUGGGCGGAAGCCUGAUGCAGCAACGCCGCGUGCGGGAUGACGGCCUUCGGGUUGUAAACCGCUUUCGCCUGUGACGAAGCGUGAGUGACGGUAAUGGGUAAAGAAGCACCGGCUAACUACGUG
rnacentral:rRNA from 1 species